AACGUAGGAUCCGAGCGUUAUCCGAAUUUACUGGGCGUAAAGCGCGUGCAGGCUGUUCGAUAAAUUGGAUGUGAAAUCUCCUGGCUCAACUGGAAGAGGUCGUUCAAUACUGUCGGGCUAGAGGAUGGUAGAGGGAGGUGGAAUUCCCGGUGUAGUGUUGAAAUGCGUACAUAUCGGGAGGAACACCAGGGGCGAAGGCGGCCUCCUGGUCCAUUCCUGACGCUAAGACGCGAAAGCUAGGGGAGCGAACGGGAUUAGAAACCCCGGUAGUCCUAGCAGUAAACGAUGUGGACUUGGCGUUGGUGGGGUAAAAUCCAUCAGUGCCGUAGCUAACGCGGUAAGUCCACCGCCUGGGGAUUACGACCGCAAGGUUAAAACUCAAAGGAAUUGACGGGGCCCCGCACAAGCAGCGGAGCGUGUGGUUUAAUUCGAUGCUACGCGAAGAACCUUACCCGGGUUUGACAUACUGGUGGUAGGGAUCCGAAAGGUGACCGACCCUUCGGGGAGCCAGUACAGGUGCUGCAUGGCUGUCGUCAGCUCGUGUCGUGAGAUGUCCGGUUAAGUCCGGUAACGAGCGCAACCCUUGCCGUAUGUUAUAUGUGUCAUACGGGACUGUUGGUAUAAAGCCGGAGGAAGGUGGGGAUGACGUCAAGUCAGCAUGGCCUUUAUAUCCGGGGCUACACACACGCUACAAUGGCCGGUACAGUAGGUUGCAAAACCGCGAGGUGGAGCCAAUCCAUAAAGCCGGUUUCAGUUCAGAUUGCAGGCUGCAACUCGCCUACAUGAAGUCGGAGUUGCUAGUAACCGCAGGACAGCUAUACUGCGGUGAAUUCGUUGCCGGGGCU
rnacentral:rRNA from 1 species